rnacentral:tRNA from 1 species
GCAUUGGUGGUUCAGUGAUAGAACUCUCACCCUCCAUGUCAGAGGCCUGGGUUACAUUCCUGGCCGAUGAA